UAGUGAACGUGGUUCGGCCGUCUGAAUGCCGAACUCUAAAUCCCACUUGGGAGUAUCCAAUCAUAAAAUAACUCGGCGUACAAUGCGCCGAGCUCAAUAAAUUGUAACACCUCACUUCGCCGAGAAGGCUAAUAAGAUGACCCCAAUCAAUAAGGAUCCGGAAAUCCUUCUCGACCGAGACUUGGAUAGGUAACCAACCGUCCUCGCCGCAGUGCUGUUGAUGCCAACUGAAGAUACUGCGAGACCGGCUGAUUCUACGAUGACAGAGCUAUCUAUGUCGACUUAAGAUGUCACCGGUUGCUUUCACAGUGCUGUUGAUGCCAACAGAAGAUGUGUCAGCGAAAGGAGAAAAUAAAAAAAAUCGUAAAGUUGUUGAGAGAGUUUGCGCAGGGCAGUUGUGUGUUGAAUUUGAGGGGGGUUGAAUGAUGCACAGCCUCCUCUAUUUAUAGCAUUAGAUACCUCUAAAGCCGAAUUAAAACCCUACUCAGACUAGGUCUUCUUCUCCUGAUCAAACACCAACUCGACCAGUCCUAUUUUCACUAUAAUUGUGAACCUAGUCCUUUAUGGAGCCGGAUUCGUUUCCGGGUUAUUGAUCUUGCCGAGACUCCUUAUUGCAUCAGGAUUUGACUCGUCUUGCGGUAUGGUAUAAUCGACCCGGAUUUGGGAAGCCCACGACCUAACCGGUCCAGAACUAACUGAUCCCUGAGAACCGAAUCCUGUCGUAAGGCUUUCUGAGCCGAGAAUAAUUCUAUACUCGGCCCAAACUAAUAUUUUGGGCCCAAACAUUGCCCCCUCGCUUCUGAGGUCCUCGGCCUGAAUUCUUUGGUCGAGUUUUGGCCUUGAAGAAGCGAAUUUAACACUCAGAACCCAAGUACUCCAUUUCCAAGGCGCAUUUAUUGAGCACGAUUGCACGAUCUUGAUUCUGCUGACCAAAACACCACGUGGCAUCCUUUAACAUGGACAAUCCUUAAUAAUGACGUCUAAGGCAUGCAGCUCCCUGAACCGUCGUGUCAUCAUGACAUUAUUGCUGAACAUGACCAUGCUACCUCAAUCUGCGAGCCUUUCGUCAUCGUGCAGAUGCCAAAACGUCUUUCGCCCUAAAUCUCGCCGCUACAUGCAAUCGUGCGCCCCCAAAACCUGAGACCCCCGGUCUUCUCAACUGCAUUUCCUGAAUGUCCAUAAUGAUUAGCGAUUUCUUUGGUCGAUUUUACCCUUUAUUUUGAAUUUCGAACGAUUGCCCUUCCUUCCACAAUUCUAUAAAUACCGAAAUUCUCUCAUUUGUGUUGGAAAUGUGCCCUAAAACCAAUCAUAUGAUGAUACUUUACAGACAUUUCACAUGUUAAACUAAUCUAGUUUAAUAUCAAGGGCAAAGAUUAUUGUUUGAGCCGUCUCAUAUAAAUGUUAUACGUUUAAACGAUAAGUCCAAGGAAUAUGUGAUUGGGAGAAUGCGAUCUAAAGAAGUUAGAUUCAUGAGACCAUUCUUUCGUAGACACAUCCUAAACGUUCCUGAUCAUAGGAUUGCCAAUUGGGCAUUGACAGUCCGUUAAGAUCAGUACGUGCUGUGUCUUCUCUCAGGGAGAGUGACUAGUCUCGAGUCAUUGUUGUGUGUGACAUCAAGACAAGCAUGUAGGUGCUCAAUAGCGAAUGAGUUCACUGAACACGAUCAACGAAGAGUUCUCAUACUCAUGUCACAUGAGAACUCAUGGUUGGGAUAAUGCAAAGUAGUCAUUUGACCUGAGGCAUCACAGUGGUCUUGUGGUUAGGUACUUGAUCUUUGAUUAUGUUAAAGUCACCCCAUCCGCGGGUGUCCACGACAUCGUCGGGGUUAAGCCACUUAGCCAUGGAAGCAAGUGAAUGCGCAACAAGGGAUCUCUAACCUUCAAACCGUUUGGGGGAGAAUACUCUAUGAUAUGAUUAAGAAUCUCUGGCCAGAGUAUGAAUGAGAUUUAGGAAGUCGUUCCAAAUCACAUUCAAGGUAAUCAUGUAAGCACACGAAUCACAUUGGAUAGUAGACAUGAAUAAACUAUCAAACCAAACAAUGUGGUCAAGAGUACUGUAUUAGAGAAAGACCGUAUUGCAUUUGUAAUUCUAAACUGAAUAGGUUCUCCACCUCUUCUGAUUAGCUUGGGUAACCAUGAUAUACUGCUAGGUGUCACUCAUGGUUUGUGGAAGCCCUAAACGUGUAUAAUCACUAAAGGGAGAAUUGAAAGUAAGUUUCAAUUCACAAUCGAUUUGAAAUGGUUUUAAUCGCCUACUGCCUCGCUAAAAGGAACCUAAUGGAUCGUACACCGUGUAAGGUGGAGAUUGAAGAAACAAUGGAGAUGAGUAAGAAUAAUUAAAUGGUUUAAUUAUUUAUGGCAAGGAUUAAUUAAUAUGUUAAUUAAUCAAACGAAUAAGUUCGUUAAAGACCUCGGGAUAGUUUUGGGCCUCAAGGCCUAAUGGGCUUCGAACGUCAAGCCCAUUGACUUAAUUGUAUGACAACUUAAUGACAAAUAAUUCACAAAGGCCUUAAAAGCCCAAUGAAACCCUAUGGCCGGCCAUUUUGUUAAAGGAGUGGGUUUUGAACUUAAUUACAAGUUUGCCACUCCAAUGAAUAAAGGUAUAAAUAUGACUUUAUAGCCAAAUUUCAUUUAGGGUUUUCUUUUGGGGAAAGGAUGAGAACAUAAGCUCUCAUUUCUGUCUAAAGUGGCCGGCCUCCUUGGAGGAUUUAGCUAGCAAUCCUACUACUCCAAGGUCACUCAUUUCUUCUCCAAUCUAACCUUGGUGAAGAGACUUAGAGGUUCUCAAUUUUGGGAACUUGGAGAACCAUUUCAUCCAUCCAAAUCCAUAGAUCUAAGAUGAAAGGAAUGAAGGCCCUCUCUUUGGGUGAUUAGCCUUUGCUUAUGCAAAGAGGAAUCUACAAAGGUAUAAUUUCUCAACUAACAAAUGUUGUUUUAAGUUGAGUUAAGGUUCACCAAUCUACUAGGCUUUGAAUUUCAUGGUUAAUGUUUUGUUUUGAGUGCAUGCAAGCAUGAUUCCGCCUUUUAAUUGUUAAUUGCAUGCUAUAGAUGUUGCUCAAAUGAACAUGUUUUUCACAAUAUUUCCUUCAAUUUGUACUUCACGCUUUUAAACUUUCUGAAAUUUCUCGCCAUCAUUUUCCAGUGCAUUUCUUCUUUCAGGUCUUCGUUCUUCAAUCUUUAACCCAGAAAGUCCUUUUCUUGUCAUACCUUCAACCAAUCACCAUGGCCUCCUUUAUCUCUAAGCUUUCUAAGGAGUGUGAUCAAUGCCAAAAAAUCAUCGAUCAGAGUUCAAUCAAAACCAUUCCAUUUGAGAGUGACAUGAGUACCCCUCAUCAAAUCUUGGGUCCUCUCUUUAAGGCGGCAGUGCCAUCGACCAUCACUGGACUUCUCUAGGAGCAUUGCCUAUCACCUUUACUAUAAGGGUUCGACUGGUCGAAGUGGGAUGUGGCGAGGCCUCAAGGCUCUUGGCCCUUGACCAUUACAACCUGGGCAGCCUGGGUUGUUCGAAUGGAAAAAAUCUUCGGCGAUCAAUGGAAAGCCCUAGACAUCUACGACGCCAUUCGCCUUUCAUCCAUGGAGGUCAUUCUGGACAAGGAGCUCCUCCUAGCUGCUUUAUGCUUUUGGUGUUCGGCCACUAACGCCAUGGUCCUCCCUCUCGACCCCAUUGGCCCCACCAUUCUCAACCUUACUGCCAUCUUGGGGACUUCCCCGACUGGAAUCCCAGUCGACUCUGCCCUCCCUAGGUACCCGUCGAACCUUAAUUUAAAGGUGCUCUUCGACAAAUGGGCCCUUGAGACGCUAAGCAGUGAAGGCCAAACACCCUCGAAGGAAGAGGUCCACAAGCUUCACAAAAACUUCUUCAACUACAACACAUUCUACCUCCAUUUUGCCGGCCAAGGAGAAGAGGCUCUGCGAGAAGGAGAACACGAGGCUUUCCUCUUCUAUUGGUACAACAAAUUUAUUUGUUGUACCAAAUCUAAUAAGUGCCUGGUCGAGAACAUGCUAGUGGCCGAGGCCCUAGCUAGCGGUCACACUUUGGUACUUAGCCCGGCCAUUCUUGCUCAUCUUCUGCACUGCUUGGCCGAAACGACUCUAGAUAAGGUCGAUCCUCAGCAGAAUAGGCCCCUCUGGGUCUUCCAACUCUGGCUGCAUGUCUACUUUGCUCCUCUUCGGCCAACGAUUGCUGAUUUCUCACCCAGGGAAGCGCUCGGCCUUCAAUUGGCUUUUCGGCCAAUCCCUCAUCACCAAGCCGAAGAAGUGUUCAGAUACUUCUUCGCUCUCGACGACCUUUCUAAUGACGAGUUCUUGAUCUGUCGUCGUCGAGAAUACCACUCGUCGAUCAGACUUCCUACCACAACAUGGGGUGCGGACGAAGAUGCUAACCUUCGUCAAUCUUGGGGGUCUUUCGUACUUGUCCGCGACCUGCCUCUCGGCUGUGAGGGUCGCCGAGCGAGUUGGGAAGUGUAUCAUCCCAACUUCCUCGCUCGGCAGCUUGGCUAUUUCCAGGGUUGUCCAGUCCCUCUUCUUUCCUCAAGGUCAGUUGAUAGACGCAUAUUUAUGCAACUUAGUUAACUAGUUUUCUUGCAUUUACGUUAUUAGUUCUUAGUUAUUUUAGUACUUUAAGCCAUUUUCGUGUGUUUGUAGGUCCAAAGGGCUAAGGUAGCAAGAAAGUGCAUUUUGGUGCAUUUUGGAGCAGUUUUGAGCUUGGAAUGGAUUACAUAUGAUAUGAGCAAGAUGGAUGGACGAAUUUGAAGACAAAAGAGGCUAAGAACAUGCUAAAAAUCUGGUGAAACAAAUACAAGUUGCAAGAAGGGAUAAAUUUCUAGAAGGAUUGGCCAAAACUUCACUCAAAACACAUCAAUGCCGUGGCUUUUACUUCCACCUCCACCAGAAAUUUGAGUAAUGAUGCAAUGCUUAACUCACCAUGACAUGUGAGUGGAUGAUGCAAUGCUUAGCUCACCAUGACAUGUGAGUGGAUGAUGCAAUGCUUAGCUAACCAUGACAUGUGAGUGGAUGACUCAAUACCUAACCCACCAACAAUUCCCACUCUUUGCCAUGCUCACCUACUCAAUUCCACCAACAUUUUGUGUUAAACAAGUCCAUCCUCUUCCUAUAAAUACCAUGGCAUCAACCUCAUUCAAAUCAUCCAGAAAUGAACCAUUCUCCAAGCUUUUCCUUGCCUCUCCUACAUAUCUAAACCCCUUCCCAUCCAUUCCUCCAAAUAACCAACCCUUCAACAUCAUUCCAACCUUGUUUUGUUGCGGCAAAGAGAAGGAGAAAAGUCCUUAGACGCACUUGCUAUCCAACAUGGAUCGUUGGAACGUUUAGGUGCUUUCUUUCCUUUGUUUUUUCAAUGUUUUAAAUUUGUUUAUCUUUGUUUUGUAAUAAUGAGGAACUAAACCCCCUUGGCUAGGGGGGGAUUCGAAACCCUGUUAAUGCUUGCAAUAUGAUUUGAUUACUUUUAAUUGCGUUUCAUAAGUUAUGAAUUCGAUUUACUUAUCUAUUUGAUUGAUAACAUGUUUAUGUAUGUUGAUUAGGGAUGCAUACUUAGUUUGCAUGCAUAAAUAUGAUGCUAGAGUAUAAGGGAAUUUCACCUAAUCGUUAUGAACUUAUAUUCAUGAGUAGUAAAAGUCGCUAGUCACGAUUGUGUUAAGUAAAUCCUUGGCAUAAGUUUCAUGCAAAUCAUAGUAACGAGUGCCUCGUCAAUGCUUAUGUUUUUCAUAGAACUUAAUAAUUCUUGCUUGUAUCUCUAUUAUGCAAUUCAUGUAGGGAACUUGUAGGGAAUGUUUUGGGUUGUCGUAUGCAAUCAUCCAACCCAAUAACUUGUGGAAAAACUGAGGGUUAAUUAAUGCAAUUCACGGUUAAUUUGGGGCGUUGAGAAUUAAUAAGUUAUUGAAAUGCAAUUGGAAAUCAUUUUGUAUGCAAGCAAGACAUGUGUGGAGAAGAACCCCUUAGCUAGCCUUCCAUUAUCCAUUCAACCCAAAUUUGUUUAAAAUCUAUUUAAGUUUUUAGUUUAUUCGUUUUUACUUUCAACUUCACCAAACUCAAAUCCCCCUUUUACUUUCUUGUUUUAAAAUCUUUUGUUUACAUUUUUAACUUUGUUUUUAUGUUUUUAAAUUAGUUUUCAAGUGAUUUAGCAAUCCCUCAUAAUCCCCGGUUUAGAACGAUCCCUACUUACAUCUAUACUACAAUUGUCAAAAAGAGGGUUAAAUUUGUGUGCUUAUAUAUUUCGCAUCAUCGGUCCUAAGCCGCGGACGCGAACCUGGCUCUUUAGAGAAGGAAUGCACCGAUGCCAAAAGGGAGUUCUAGGAGCGGUGCCAGAAAUUCCGCCUUCGACUGGCCACUCCAGAGACUCUGUGUACUGACACUUUCGGUAAUUGGUGGGAACAGUAUACCCAGUAAUUUUUUGGUGUUCCGGUCGAAACCGUUUUGAAUAAACUUUUCGGUGGUCGACCUAAGAAGGCUUCUGCCCCCCAAGCCCAAGGUAAUGGUUUACUUCUGUCUUUUUCCUUCAACCUUGAAUUACUGAUCUGCUUUGCUGAUUUGCUUUUACUUUCUCAGGUAGCCGGUCGUUGAAAAAAGUGGUAGUGGUUGCUGCCGCUGCGGCUGAGAGAAAAUCGAUCUUCUCUAAGAAAGCAAAGAUUGCUGCGCAUGCCUUGCUGAGCAAACAGCUUCGUCGAGAAGCCGAGCCGGCUCUCCGAUGGUCGACGGUGGCAAACGACCGGCCAGAGAGCCAGCAGCGGCGACAGAAACGCCCGCUCCUCCACAGGACCAGGACCUCAAUUCUGCGUCCGAAGCGGCUGUCCCAGUCGGCCCUUCUACGGUCGACCGUGGCAAACAACCUGCUGGAGAACCAGAGGCGACGGUGGAAACGCCCGUUCAUCCUCAGGACAGGACCUUGAUAUUCCUCCGCAGGAAGCCACUUCGGCCUUCGUAAGUACCCUCUACCACCUUUCCUUGAUUAUUUUUCUGUUAUAGAACUCUAAACCAGGAAAUUACUAACUGUCAGGUGCCUGUACACUCUUUUCAUCGAAAAUUCUAUGCACCGAAGGGUGUUAUCUAUGUCUCUUGGCCGCCUCAGUGGCCAUCAAACGUAGAUAACCUCCAUCGGCCAUGUGAGCUGAGAAGCAAUCUAAGAUACUGGGCUCAACCAUUAAGUUCUUUAGGUUCGAGCAACGAUCCUGAAGACAUGGCCGAAGUAUCUUCUUGGCAGGUUUAAAAACAAAACCUUCUUGUGAUCUUUUUAUGGUUUCCUUGAGCUUAACCUGAUUUUGUGUGCAGGCUUCAUGGGAAGUCAAAUUUAAAAAGUCCAGUCACUAGGGAGGGGCUGGGCCUUCGGCCACCACAACUGAAGCUGCUGAUUCAAAUACUCUAGCUCGGUUGCGAGAGGUCUUGUCCCUUUCGACGUCGUAAAUACUCGAAUGCAAAGGUCUUGAUUUGCUCGGUGCAUGUCUAAACGACCUCGGAGCCGAUGGUCAACUGAGCGGCCAGGCUAUCAUUCAAGCGUCGUCUGUCUUGGAGCGGGUUCGAGAGACCUUUAGUAUUUUUGAGAACGCUCUGAAAGCCAAACAAGACCUGUAAGCUGCCACAGCCGUCCAAGAUACUCUCCGUCCAAAGAUUGAUGCUUUAAAGGCAAAAGGAGAAGCCUUGGCUGACCUCGACCGUCAAAUGGCCGAAUUAGUGAAACGAAGGUCAGCCAUCGUUUCCGAGCUUGCUAAGGACUUCGAGUUGGGUGGCAAAGCUUACUUAAUCGAGUAUGCGGCGAGCACUAAACGGGUCGAGCAGUUAAAAAUGGACAAGAAGAACCGGCAGGCCGAGGUCAUAAUGGGUGAGGUGCGGUGGUUGGAGCUGAAGGCCCUUCUCGGCACUCUUCUUCCUUCUUCGCCUUGAAUGUAUUUAAAUGUAAACUGAUCAACUUAUUCAAUUUGUAUAUACUCUUCUCGAUCUUAAUGAACUGAUUUUCUAUUCCCGCAUUUCCCAUGUGAUCGGAUAGUAUUUCUUCAAAAACUUCCCAUUGAUUGGUAGUUUGUGAACUAAACCGGUCCGGUCUCUAAGAUGAUAUGCUCCUUUGCCAUAUAUUUUAUGUACAACAUACAGCCCUUCCCAAUUUGGCGACCAUUUGCUGAACCUAGGGUCCUUUAGUCCUACUGGCAACACCGUUUGCCAGACCAAUUCUCCCUCGCCAAAUGUUUUCUGUCGUACCUUUUGGUUAUAGGCUCGCUCGGCAAUCCGUUUUUGUGCCACCAGCAAGUUAUAAGCAUCAAGUCGCGCUUCCUCUAAAUCUUCUAACUCUUGUCUCAUGGAUUGAUUAUAUUCGGCGCUGAACAAACUACUUUGUUCAAUUAGUCGCAGCGAAUUUAUGCUUAACUCGACUGGUAACAUUGCAUCGUGUCCGUAGGUUAAUGCAUACGGGGUUGUUCCGGUUGUCGAUCGGGGUGAUGUUCGAUAUGCCCACAAAGCCUCAUUCAACUUUAAAUGCCACAUGCCGGGCCUUUCUUUUAUUAUUUUCUCGAGAAUGCCGAUCAACACUUUAUUACUUGCCUCGGCCUGCCCAUUUGCUUGUGGAUAAUACGGUGUAGACUGUUCAAGUCAAAUUUUCAAACUUGCCGUAUAUUUUAUAAACCUUUCGGCUGUAAAGAUUGUGCCAUUAUCAGUUAUAAUCGUUUCUGGUACACCGAAUUUGGUUAUCGCAAACUUCUUUAGACGUUAGCUCGGCAUAUGAUUUAGCUUCGACCCACUUAGUGAAGUAAUCGGUUGCUACCAGUAUCCAUGCGUGCUUGGCUGCCCCGGAAGAUGGUGUGAUUUUACCGAUUACGUCCAUGGCCCAUCUUCUAAACGGCAAUGGUUUAGUGACCGAAUGUAAUGACUCGGCUGAGACCCGAUGUAUAGGACCAUGAAUCUGACACUGUAUGCACCCUCGUGCGAACUCGAUACAAUCCUUCAAUAUUCUUGGCCAAAAAUAACCGUGUCGUUGAAGCAACCACCGCAUUUUACGUCCGGACUGAUGAGCUCUGCAAACCCCUUCAUGGACUUCUGUGAUUGCUUGAGCACACUUUUAGGGGCCCAGGCAUAGCAGUAAUAGACCAUCUUCACUCUUUCAGUAUAACUCGUUUUGGUACAUGACAUAGUUUGUGGCGUGAACUCUUGUCUUGCGACUAUGUUUGCCGUUGGGGUUGUCAAUAUACUGCAUAAUGGACAUUAUCCAAUUAUCUGGUAUUACCUCGACGGUGCAAACCUCUAUAAGGUCUUGUCAGUCUAGCAAUAAAGGUAAGGACAUGACUUUGGUGCGUAUCACGUUGUCGCGUCGGAGGACUUGCUGGUUAACCAAGGCUGGGUAUAGUUGUCGUAACACCGGUAUUUCUCGGCCUAGCUUGCCCCCCAGGAGUUGUGCACCGAAGGCGAUUUGAGCCAAUUCGUCCGCGUCGGUAUUAUAGAUCCGGGAAAUAUGCUCAAAUGUAAUACCGUCGAAGGAUUCGGCUAAAUUACUGGCAACCAUAUGGUAGGGUGCCAGGGUACAACUUAUGUAGCGGAAAGACCCAUUAAGUUGGUUAAUCACAAGUUCGGAGUCGCCGAGGAUGAGGGCACGGGUGGCCCGCAAGUCAUGAAGGAUGCCAAGGUCGAUGAUAAGGGCUUCGUAUUCGGCCUGAUUAUUGGUGGAGUCAAAAUCCAGCUUGAGUGAAAAAUACCAACGAUCGUGGUUAGGAGAUUGAAUGACAAUGCCAACGCCAGCCGAGGAUGAAGUACUUGAACCGUCAAAGUACAUCAUCCAGUUAGUUUCAACCAUGCCGAUUUCGACGUCGGUGUCCCUAAAACCGUAAGGGGAAGGGUGUUGAGCGAGGAAGUCCGCCAAUGCUUGGCCUUUGACAGCUUUCUAGGGCACGUAUUGCAAGCUAAACUCGGAUAAUGCCAUUGUCCAUUUCCCAAUUCGGCCUUUUACGAUUGGUCGGGUGUGCAUGUACCGGAUGACGUCGGUCUGGGCAAUGACUUGUGUGACCGACGGAAGCAUGUAAAGCCGAAAAUUACCAACCGACACACCGAAGACACAUUUGGCAGGAUUCAUUUUGAGGUUGUGUUGACGCAUUCUGAUGAAAGCCUGUCGGAGAUCGUCCAGAUGUGUCUGCCGGCGUUUAGAUUUAAUGACAACAUCGUCGAUGUAGACUUCGACGAUGGUUCCAAUUAAAUCGUGAAAUAUGGUGUUCAUUGCUCGUUGGUAAGUGGCGCCGACGUUCUUAAGGCCGAAUGGCAUGACAACCUAUUCGUAUGUUCCGAGUGCCCCCGGGCAGCGGAAAGCAAUCUUGUGCACAUCGGCUUCGGCAAUGAAAAUUUGGUUGUACCCAGCAUGUCCAUCCAUAAAGGAUAAGAUCGCAUGAUUUGCCGCGACAUCGAUUAACAAAUCUGAAAUCGGCAUUGUAUACUCAUCUUUGGCAGUUGCCAGAUUCAGAUUCCUAAAGUUGAUGCAAAUGCGCAAUGCACCACUUUUCUUUAAAACAGGAACGAUAUUGGCCAACCAUUCAACGUAUCGAGCUGUCCUAAUGAACCCUGCUUUCAAAAGCCGAACUAGUUCAUCCUUGAUGUCAAGUUGCACUUCGGUCGAGAAUCGACGAGGUGGUUGACGGAAAGGUUUACAUCCAGGUUUAAUAUGUAACUCAUGCUCGAGAAGAGUGCGAUCUAAGCCAGGCAUUUCAUGGUAGCUCCAAGCAAAACAAUCUUUGAAUUCCUCAAGUAGGGCAUGAAGUUCGGCUUUCAUAGGUUGAGGAAGUAACGCACUAACAAAUAAAGACCGUGGGUCAUUGGCCGUGGACAUUUUUCCUCCAAGGAAUAGCUUUUUGAACAGAAUCUCCGAGCCGGUCGUCCUUCAUCAUUGAAAACCCUGAUUGCCGACGUGAUCAUCAUAAUACCGUGCUUGGAUCAUGUUAGCCUCGAAGGGUUGAUUAUCGACUGGGUGAACAAUGACCGAUUUACCAUCCCAAAAGACGAGCACUUGAUAUAAUGAUGAAGGAAUACAGCUGGCUUGAUGAAUCCAGUCUUGACCGAGCAAUGCAUUAUACUCGGUCUUGGAGUCGACAAUGAAAAAAGCGGUCAUGUGAUUACGGCCGGCAAUAUUUACUACUAACGGAAGUACCCCUUUGGUUGGGGAUUUGUCUCCGACAAAACUGCUCAUUGUGAUCCCAGACGGAAUAAUUUCGUCAUUGGAGCGACAUAAGGCCUUCAUGAUGUUUACAGGCAUGAUAUUGACGGUGGUUCCACAGUCGACGAAAACUUUGGAAGCUGGAUACCCUUCAAUAUGGGCCGUUACAUACAAUGGCUUCAAAUGACGAAGUUUGGCCGAUGAUGAACGAGGAAACAAUUCGGCCAAAGUUGCUUUCAGACUAUCAUCUUUUGUUGUUGCCUCGACUUCAGCAAUAGUUACAAAAUCAAUAUGACCGGUUUCCUCGGCAACUAUAUCACCAUCGAGGAAAUUCGGUUAAGCUGUGCUUGACUGAAAAUCAGCGGGCAAAACAUGGACCAUACUGAUUCUCAUGUUAUCCAGGACUGACGGGCCCAUCGGGUUAUGAUCCUCUUCCUUAACCUCGUCUCUUUCCUGGUCGGCGACUGCGGCAUUCGCUUCUGUCAUAAUUGGAUGAAGAGACUCUUCUGCUCAUUCUUCAAUGGUUUGGUCCCGCGGUGUCUCUUCGGUAGCCUGCUGGUUUUGCGUAAGUGCCUCAGGUGAGUCUGAGAUUGAAAGCGCGCUUGGUACCAAAAUCUGAACUUGCUCCUGGUACUGUAUACGGGUAUCCCUAGUGUUGAGAUAGGCAUCUAGCCGUGCGACAUGUGCUAUUUCAUCGGCCGUAAGGUUGAAGAGAGAAACAGCCGAAAAUACUUCGAAGUGAUAUCGUAAAUACUGAAGGUCCUCUAUUGAAAAAGGAAGGUCGGCUGCAUCGAUAUCGGUGUAUGGGUCGACUUCAAAACCAAGGACACGAGCUUCUCGUAUGUGCUAGAACCUAACUUUUAAUCCUGGGUCUGAGGUCUUCUGAAUGAUUCGCUCGGCAUCUGGGCAAGUUAGGACAAGAUCGAUUGUGUCUUGACAUGUUUUCGGCAAACCAUACAGAUAGUUGGCCGAAUGUUUCUUAUGAAACUCUCGCAUAUAUUCCAAGGCCUCCCCGAGGAAUGGUGGAUGUAAAUUCCGUCGAAUUUUGAUCAAAGGCUCUCGUGUGGCUGGCGGGGUCAAUUUGCUUUUAGCUUCUUGCCUGAAAUGCUCGAGACGUGCCUUUAUCUCUCCGGGUCGAAGAAGAAGUUUGAUCCGUUUAUCAGCCUCUUCGAACGUGGUUUCGAUAUCUUGAUUGACCAGCCGUUUCCCUUGAACCAACUCUGUCAUAAUCGUUGGAGGUGGUCGUUCAUCGUCGGUGGCAAUUGUGUCCUUCGGCUGCCAUUUAGGGACCGAAGUUUCUUAGACUGCCCGUCGGCGGGCCAUGCAAUCUAUUCUUUGGUGCCGACAUUUCUGGGAUUUGGACAGUGCGGUGUAGACGCAUUUUGAAGAGUGAUAUGUAUACCAUCGUUGGUCUCUAGGUUCAGGAGGUUUGAAAGUUUUUUGGCUCCGCGAUGAUUCCGAGCUGCUAGAGUUACGUAUAUAGUAGUCUUCGUCAUAAAACAGAGCAUCAAAAUCGAGGCGUCGUCUGACUGAAGGUGUCUCUUCCAUCCUCACUUUAGGACCGAGCCUAUCAAAAACCUCUUGAUGUUGGCCUGCGUUGGUCACCUUUUGUUGGGUUGCGGCUGUAAGUUGUUCCAUUAUAGGUGGAGAAGACUUUUCCUUCAGCUCGAUGUUGACCUUUGCUUUACAUUUACUGCAUAAAACCGCUGUCCCACUAUCUUCAUCAGUGCUGUAAUCUGUCAUAGGCUUGACAAUAGCGGGUCCCGUUAAAGCUGUAGGUGGUUCGUUUGAACGAAAAUCAGCCAUGAAACGUGGCUGAGAGUUCUGAUUCCAAAAGCGUUGCGUCGUAACAGCUUCGGCCUUCCCUUUUCCUUUGUCAUUGGGUAGGCACACAUUUACCAUAUUUACUGUUGCCGUGGGGAAUGGGUCAGUAUCAACGCUCAUCUUCUUCUCUGGAAAUCUCAGUUUGCCAUUAUCAAUCCAGCUUUGGACGUUGUCUCGAAACACGACGCAAUUAUUUGUCAUAUGUUUGCUUAAAUUAUGGUAUUUGCAAUAUAUCUUUCCUUUAAGCUCUUCGGCCUUGGGAAUGUUAUGUCCAGGCCGAAGUUUAAUGAUCUUUGCUGAUAACAAUUGAUCAAAAAUUGCAUCGGCCUUUGUAAUAUCAAAAGUAUAGACCUAUGACGUUUUCAUUGUCUCUUCAUGGGCCGAGCGGGUUUUGGCUUCCUUAGAGUCAAUUUGAGUCAGUGCCUUGCAAACGUAUGGCUUAUCUAUGAUUAUCUCGGCUGCAUCCACGCUAACACAUUCACCUUCGGCCGAUGCAUAACUGACAGUGGGAUUUUUGUAAAUCGUCCCUCUGGACGGAGCUUUCGAGAUCUUCUCUUCAUGAAGCAAAUAAUCAUAUUGCUCAACAUGCUGGGCUAGUUCAUACAUGUCCCGAAAAUUUGCCCCCAAGAAUUUCUUUUUGUAUUCUACGUCAAGACCAUUCAAAGCAAGUCUGACGAACUCGACUUCAAGGAGAGGUACUCGGCACCAAUUCCUAGUUGAUUUAAAUCUAGUAAGAUAAUCCAUUGGGGAUUCGUUGGAUGCUUGAGCCAUCCUUGCUAACGAGGAUACUGACACUUCCAUUCCUGGCCGAUAAAACUGCUCAUGAAAUUUCUAGACCAACUCCUCCCAGCUCUGGACAGAAUUCGGUGGAAGGUUGAUAUACCAAGCAAAUGCUGAACCCGUCAGCGAAAAAUUGAACAGUUGCAGUUUGUGAAAGUCGCUAUUGACAUCUCCGCAUUGUGCGGUGAAACGAGCCACAUGUUCCAACGAGGAUAAGGAUGAUUCUUCGGCGAAAAGGCUAAAAUCCAGGAUUUUGAAACCUCUAGGGUAUUCAAACUGUUCCACAUAAGCCGGAUACAGAUGUAUAAAUUUAGGGAACUUCGGCCCUUUCUUUAUGGCCGAAUCGAUCAUCUGUUGGACCUCAGUCACAUCGACGGGUGUUGCUUCCACUCUUUGGUCGGAUCCGUUUGACCGACUGUUCGAUCCUCCUCCUCUCUCCAAGUUAAUUGGUUUGAGCCGAGCAAGGAUUGACUCGGCCGGUGCACUUGGUAAGAGAUUAUUUCUUGGUGGUAAAUGCUGGGCAAGAUCGAACGUCCUGCCGUCGCUGACUUUACUAACCAGUAUUUCGAGUAAUCUGGUUUGUGCCUCAAUGGUAUUGCGUAUCACGUCAUGAAGUUUAUCGAUUCCUCGACUAAACGUCUGUUCGACCGUCCGAGAUUGCUCGUCAAGUCGUUUUUGAAGAAACGACCUUGUUAGUGGAUCAGAUUCUUCGCCACCAUCUUCGUCACAAUCCUCUAUUAUCCCUUCAUUGAGAACACAGGUGUUCCUGUCGGGGAUUUCAAGACUGCGAAACUGAUCGCCGAGAUUAACUUCCCUUUCUUGGCGAGUCGCGCUCGUGGACUCAGGUGUUACGGCGCUGACGGGAUUCUGCGCCUGUGGCACACUGUGUCCUAUAUUCUGAAUUGGUACAUCGGCUAUUGAUUUUUCCAUAGCUAUUUUAUUUUUUACCGAUCGUGUUUCAAUUGGCAUGAACUUCGUAGUUUAGCACUGGGUCCCACUGGGCGUGCCAAAAUGUUGACCCUAGAAACCACCAAGCCUACGUGGCGCGCAGGCCAAGUAAUCUAUAAGCUAACUACGUCCUUCGGUGAAUGCGGGGCGUGCUAACUCGUCGGCCGAGCUCGGCCAAGGAGUAAAUUUAUUGAUGUUGCGUUGGGUGCGCGACUGACUUCUGCGUCUUGCAAUUGCGAUCGAGAAAGGAACACGUCUCGGCCUCUUGGGCUCUCGAACCUGAAGAUAAGGUUACUAUUCUUAUGAAGUUCACGAAUCACCGUCGUCGGAUUCGGUCACAGUGAUGUUAUUCGUCAGAGUAAACUCUCGCCGAAUCGACACCAAAGUGUAAGGGCACAAAUACUCAAAGCGAGUAUAAGUCUUAAUAGUGAACGUGGUUCGGCCGUCUGAAUGCCGAACUCUAAAUCCCACUUGGGAGUAUCCAAUCAUAAAAUAACUCGGCGUACAGUGCGCCGAGCUCAAUAAACUGUAACACCUCACUUCGCCGAGAAGGCUAAUGAGAUGACCCCAAUCAAUAAGGAUCCGGAAAUCCUUCUCGACCGAGACUUGGAUAGGUAACCAACCGUCCUCGCCGCAGUGCUGUUGAUGCCAACGGAAGAUACUGCGAGACCGGCUGAUUCUACGAUGACAG
rnacentral:lncRNA from 1 species